AAUUAAAGAUCAUGAACCUUAAAAAUCAAAUAGUUUGACUUAAUUGCAUUAGUCAAAUUAAUUUGAACCAGCAGAGUUAUUUGCAAGACUCAAGAAGAAGUUAUUAUUCUUCAUUAGAGCAAGAUAAAUGGGCCACCUUGGGACUUUCAAUUGGGCUUCCCUUUAUGAAACACAUUGGAAAUUGAAUCCUCUGUGGUGAAGGGAAUCUUUCAGCCAAGGUUCACCAAACCUGUCUUGAUUAAUUUUUCCAAAGCUCACGAUGAGCUUUACUAAUUAUGUUUUCAUGGAGUGAUGAUUAGUUUCCCAUUGUUGAGCAACCUGCAUAUUGCCACUUCAAGCUCCAGUGGGCCAAAGUGGUUUAAAAAGGCCUGAUGGAAAUGAACUAUGAACAAAACUCUUAAUAUGAACUAAAGUUGUCAUCUCAGCCUCCAUCUUUAUAAGCCUUUAAUGGUAGGCUGUUUGAGGUAUUGCACAUUAAAGAUCUCUGUGACCUCACAAUAACCUUGAAAAGUAAGGCACCUGACAAGGAUUCAUUCUUUGUUACCAAUAAAGAAGGCCACAAAGAACAGUUGUGUCACUCUCCACAGGUCAGGUAGUAAAACUGGUAUUGGAUUAGUGGGGUUGCCAUCAUUUUCUUCCCUCUUUUUCUAUCUCCACACAUGCUAUUUUGGAGUCAGAGGGUCAUAGAAUUUUGGAACAAAGUUUCAUAAAUAACCUAGUCUUAUCUUCAGUAUCACAAACCUUUUUUUGGUAUUCUGAACUUGACAAGCACAAACAGGAACAUUUUCAUAUACAAAGAAGAAAAAGGAUUUUAUAUGUAACCACAAAUAUCUUAUGGCACAAAGUGGGAAGAAGAGUAGAAACCAUGAAAAGACAGAAAUAUGUUUUUCUUUUAUUUAUUACUUUGGCUGGAUGAACACCAAAGCAUCACCAGAUAAAAUACUUCAAUUAUGAAACUUGAAGAUACUUGUGGAAAUAAAUAUUAUGUGAAAUGAGGAGUAAAUUAUACCUAUAAUUAGCAAAAUGGAAAUCUCUAUGACUGGCUAAUAUGUACAUAAAUUUCCUUUUGAGAAUAUUUUAGUAUUUCAAGGCCAAAAAUUUGUGGCCCUUUAGUGAAAUAGCAAUGAGAAGUACCAGAAAUCAAUAAACAUUAUUCAGGCAUGUAAUAUGUGCUAGACAUUGCUACUUAGCUCUUGGUAAGCUUAAAGGACCAAUUGGGGGCUGGGAAACAAAGUCAUAAUUACCAUUGUUCCUUCUCUUUACCAAUCUAAACAAUCAUAUAAUUGAAAAAGGUUGAAUUUUAAUAUAUAAAAUUUCACUUGUCAAAUCAAUUUUUAAGAAAGAUAAUAUACUGUGAUGCAAAAGAACUGAACAAAUUAUUAGUCAAGAGAUAAUGGCAAUAUAUUAUGACCAUGUGGUUUCUCUAAUAAAACAUAAAAUCCUUUAAGGCAGGAACUAUUUCAUUUUUAUUUUUCUAUUUCCAGGGCUUAGUAUAGAGGUGACACACUAUAAGUGCUUAAUAAAUGCUUUUGGAUUGAUUAAUUGACCAUGUUAAGUUUAUAAAAGAAAUGCAAAGGUAGUUCAACUUAUAGUUUAAGAAGACUAAAGAUAUAAUUGACUAUAUUAAUAUUGAUAAUAAAAACAAAAACUAGUGAUUAUAUUAAUAAAUACAAAACUUUUG
ensembl:lncRNA